GGUGACAGCAAGACCCUGGGGGAAAAAGAAAAAAGAAAAAAGGGAGAGAAGUGGGCUGGCACUAAGUGGCAGUUGCCCUUAGAUGGCUCCCGAGAGACAGAAGCUGACCCUGUUUUGCUUAUCGAUGUAUCUCCAGCACCUGGAAAAAUGCCUGGCACAUAGCAGGCAGAGGGUCUAUCUGCUUCCCGGCAGUCACAGAUGCUCAAAGAGGGGGACCUCAUUUUCCCAUCUGGAAGAAAUCCUGAUUAUUCUCAGCCAUCUUGGUAAUACAGUUCCUCUCACUACGAUUGGCUUAGGGGUGGACAUGUGAGCACAUGCUGGUGAAAAACACGAGAGGGGGUGAGCUGGGGGAAUUCUUGCAAAGGUUUCAUUGCUGAUAAAAAUGGACCAAGGAAGAGAUGCUUCCUGCAUGUGUCCUGUUGGAUGAGAUGCCCAGACAGAGGCAGCCACUGUGCCCUGCAGAAAAUGCCAGAGCAGAGAGAUGCAGAGAACCUGGCUUUUCAGGGAUCCCCUUGACAUUGAAACUGAGAGCCAGCUGGGCGCAGUGGCUCACGCAGGUAAUCCCAGCGCUUUGGGAGGCCGAGGCGGAAGGA
rnacentral:lncRNA from 1 species